AACGAACGUUGGCGGCAUGCCUAACACAUGCAAGUCGAACGAGACCUUCGGGUCUAGUGGCGCACGGGUGCGUAACGCGUGGGAAUCUGCCCUUGGGUUCGGAAUAACAGUUGGAAACGACUGCUAAUACCGGAUGAUGUCUUCGGACCAAAGAUUUAUCGCCCAGGGAUGAGCCCGCGUAGGAUUAGCUUGUUGGUGAGGUAAAGGCUCACCAAGGCGACGAUCCUUAGCUGGUCUGAGAGGAUGAUCAGCCACACUGGGACUGAGACACGGCCCAGACUCCUACGGGAGGCAGCAGUGGGGAAUAUUGGACAAUGGGCGAAAGCCUGAUCCAGCAAUGCCGCGUGAGUGAUGAAGGCCUUAGGGUUGUAAAGCUCUUUUACCCGGGAUGAUAAUGACAGUACCGGGAGAAUAAGCCCCGGCUAACUCCGUGCCAGCCGCCGCCGUAACAC
rnacentral:rRNA from 1 species